rnacentral:rRNA from 1 species
CCUACGGGAGGCAGCAGUGAGGAAUAUUGGUCAAUGGUCGGGAGACUGAACCAGCCAAGCCGCGUGAGGGAUGAAGGUACAGAGUAUCGUAAACCUCUUUUGUCAGGGAACAAAGGCGGGGACGUGUCCCCGGAUGAGUGUACCUGAAGAAAAAGCAUCGGCUAACUCCGUUCCAGCAGCCGCGGUAAUACGGGGGAUGCGAGCGUUAUCGGGAUUUAUUGGGUUGAAAGGGUGCGCAGGCGGUCUGUUAAGUCAGCGGUCAAAGCCCGGGGCUCAACCCCGGCCCGCCGUUGAAACUGGCAGUCUAGAGUUGGAGAGAAGUAUGCGGAAUGCGCGGUGUAGCGGUGAAAUGCAUAGAUAUCGCGAAGAACUCCGAUUGCGAAGGCAGCAUGCCGGCUCCACACUGACGCUGAGGCACGAAAGCGUGGGUAUCGAACAGGAUUAGAUACCCCAGUAGUC